rnacentral:rRNA from 1 species
CAGCAGCCACGGUAACACAGAGGGUGCGAGCGUUAAUCGGAUUUACUGGGCGUAAAGCGUGCGUAGGCGGCUUUUUAAGUCGGAUGUGAAAUCCCUAAGCUUAACUUAGGAAUUGCAUUCGAUACUGGGAAGCUAGAGUAUGGGAGAGGAUGGUAGAAUUCCAGGUGUAGCGGUGAAAUGCGUAGAGAUCUGGAGGAAUACCGAUGGCGAAGGCAGCCAUCUGGCCUAAUACUGACGCUGAGGUACGAAAGCAUGGGGAGCAAACAGGAUUAGAUACCCGCGUAGUCCCUGUCUCUUAUAC